CGGGUGAGUAUAAUGUGGGUAUCUGCCUUUUGGUCUGGAAUAACACGGGGAAACUUGUGCUAAUACCGGAUAAGCCUUUACAGGGAAAGUUUUAAUGCCAAAAGAUGAGCCCGCACUUGAUUAGCUAGUUGGUAAGGUAAAAGCUUACCAAGGCAACGAUCAAUAGCUGUUCUUAGAGGAAGACCAGCCACAUUGGGACUGAGACACGGCCCAAACUCCUACGGGAGGCAGCAGUAGGGAAUCUUGCACAAUGGGGGAAACCCUGAUGCAGCGAUGCCGCGUGAGUGAAGAAGGCCUUUGGGUUGUAAAACUCUUUCGUCGGGGAAGAAAAUGACUGUACCCGAAUAAGAAGGUCCGGCUAACUUCGUGCCAGCAGCCGCGGUAAUACGAAGGGACCUAGCGUAGUUCGGAAUUACUGGGCUUAAAGAGCUCGUAGGUGGUUAAAAAAGUUGAUGGUGAAAUCCCAAGGCUUAACCUUGGAACUGCCAUCAAAACUUUUUAGCUAGAGUAUGAUAG
rnacentral:rRNA from 1 species